CGCGGCCUAUCAGCUUGUUGGUGAGGUAAUGGCUCACCAAGGCGACGACGGGUAGCCGGCCUGAGAGGGCGAUCGGCCACACUGGGACUGAGACACGGCCCAGACUCCUACGGGAGGCAGCAGUGGGGAAUAUUGCACAAUGGGCGAAAGCCUGAUGCAGCGACGCCGCGUGAGGGAUGAAGGCCUUCGGGUUGUAAACCUCUUUCAGCAGGGAAGAAGCGCAAGUGACGGUACCUGCAGAAGAAGCACCGGCUAACUACGUGCCAGCAGCCGCGGUAAUACGUAGGGUGCAAGCGUUGUCCGGAAUUAUUGGGCGUAAAGAGCUUGUAGGCGGUUUGUCGCGUCUGCUGUGAAAUUUCGGGGCUCAACCCCGAACUUGCAGUGGGUACGGGCAGACUAGAGUGUGGUAGGGGAGACUGGAAUUCCUGGUGUAGCGGUGAAAUGCGCAGAUAUCAGGAGGAACACCGAUGGCGAAGGCAGGUCUCUGGGCCACUACUGACGCUGAGAAGCGAAAGCAUGGGGAGCGAACAGGAUUAGAUACCCUGGUAGUCCAUGCCGUAAACGUUGGGAACUAGGUGUGGGCCUCAUUCCACGAGGUCCGUGCCGCAGCUAACGCAUUAAGUUCCCCGCCUGGGGAGUACGG
rnacentral:rRNA from 1 species